RUACUGUGAUCCUUGAAUCUAUGCUUUCUAUCCUUAUAUUCAGGCAGUUUCAGAGAAAAGCAAAAAGGAAAGUCCAGGCUCUGCAAACCAAAGUUUCAGAAGCUGUGGCUUGUCUGAUGCACAGCGGUUUUGCCCCUUUUAAGAAGAACUCUCAGAGCUGUUGGAAAGAUGAAKGAACUGGAUGAGUUCAGUCUCUUACAUGGAUCCAUGAGGUACUGCUGCGUGUCUUGUCCUGGGAUCAGCAUAGCUCAUAGAAGACUCUGGUAAGCAACRUUUGCCCUAGAAUAAAGCACAUC
rnacentral:lncRNA from 1 species